AGUGAACGCUGGCGGUAGGCCUAACACAUGCAAGUCGAACGGCAGCACAGUAAGAGCUUGCUCUUACGGGUGGCGAGUGGCGGACGGGUGAGGAAUACAUCGGAAUCUACUUUUUCGUGGGGGAUAACGUAGGGAAACUUACGCUAAUACCGCAUACGACCUACGGGUGAAAGCAGGGGAUCUUCGGACCUUGCGCGAUUGAAUGAGCCGAUGUCGGAUUAGCGAGUUGGCGGGGUAAAGGCCCACCAAGGCGACGAUCCGUAGCUGGUCUGGGAGGAUGAUCAGCCACACUGGAACUGAGACACGGUCCAGACUCCUACGGGAGGCAGCAGUGGGGAAUAUUGGACAAUGGGCGCAAGCCUGAUCCAGCCAUACCGCGUGGGUGAAGAAGGCCUUCGGGUUGUAAAGCCCUUUUGUUGGGAAAGAAAAGCAGCAGGUUAAUACCCCGCUGUUCUGACGGUACCCAAAGAAUAAGCACCGGCUAACUUCGUG
rnacentral:rRNA from 1 species